AUUGAACGCUGGCGGCAGGCUUAACACAUGCAAGUCGAGCGAGCGGCGGACGGGGGAGUAAUGUCUGGGAAACUGCGUGAUGGAGGGGGAUAACUACUGGAAACGGUAGCUAAUACCGCAUACCAUCAGAUGUGGAAAAAUGGGAUUAGCUAGUAGGUGGGGUAAUGGCUUCCCUAGGCGACGAUACCUAGCUGGUCUGAGAGAAUGACCGGCCACACGUGAACUCAGACACGGUCCAGACUCCUACGUGAGGCAGCAGUGGGGAAUAUUGCCCAAUGGGCGCAAGCCUUAUGCAGCCCUGCCGCGUGUGUGAAGAAGGCCUUCGGGUUGUAAAGCACUUUCAGCGAGUAGGCGUUACUCGCAGAAGAAGCACCGGCUAACUCCGUGCCAGCAGCCGCGGUAAUUC
rnacentral:rRNA from 1 species